UAGAGGGUGGUGUAAAGGAAGCACCAAGAGUUUUGAUCUCUUAAGUAUGGGUUCAACCCCCUUUCCUCUAA
rnacentral:tRNA from 1 species